AGCGAACGCUGGCGGCAGGCCUAACACAUGCCAGUCGAACGAACUCUUCGGAGUUAGUGGCGGACGGGUGAGUAACACGUGGGAACGUGCCUUUUGGUUCGGAGUAACUCAGGGAAACUUGUGCUAAUACCGAAUGUGCCCUUCGGGGGAAAGAUUUAUCGCCAUUAGAGCUGCCCGCGUCUGAUUAGCUAGUUGGUGAGGUAACGGCUCACCAAGGCGACGAUCAGUAGCUGGUCUGAGAGGAUGACCAGCCACACUGGGACUGAGACACGGCCCAGACUCCUACGGGAGGCAGCAGUGGGGAAUCUUGCGCAAUGGGCGAAAGCCUGACGCAGCCAUGCCGCGUGAAUGAUGAAGGUCUUAGGAUUGUAAAAUUCUUUCAACGGGGACGAUAAUGACGGUACCCGGAGAAGAAGCCCCGGCUAACUUCGUG
rnacentral:rRNA from 1 species